GUAAUUAAAAAAUCUACUAAUUCUUUAAAAAUUUUAGGGGAUCCUAAUUCAUUUUCACCGCGCGUGUUUAAUUGUUGAGAAAUAAUAAGGACACAGUAAGAUCGAUCUUGAGAAGAAGCUAGCUAGCUAGCAGGCCUUUUUCUUUCAUGAAAUCCUUGAAUCCACAUGCAGGGAGAGAAACAAAAUGAAUUAAUGCUUCUCAUUAGCUUGAGGCUUACUUAAUUGCAUGCAUGCAUGGUUGACAAAAUUAGGUUGGUAUGCCCUUGCAGUGACCAGAAAGGCAAUAAUAUUAGAGUUUCCAAAUCAUGGACUAGUACUAUCAAUACAAUCUUAGUACUUGAUAGGUAGCGUUUUCUGGAACAAAUGGCAGUGAUUUCUUCAAGAUCAUCAGUACUACUAAUCUUCCUGUCUGCCAUAUGCAUUCUCAUUGCUCCUGCCGUUGCUGGGCCAACGCUCCUUCGCUAUUCCUGUUCAGAUAGGCAGGGUGGUAAGUACAGCAGUGGCUACAAGGCAAACCUGAAUCACCUCUUCUCCUCCCUCUCCUCCAACAGCACUGAAAUUGACUACGGGUUCUAUAAUUCGUCUUAUGGGGAAAAGCCUCACGAAGUAUAUGCAAUUGCACUUUGUAGAGGAGAUUUGAAGCCUGAUGAAUGCCGUAAUUGCCUCAAUAUCUCUAAAGAUUAUCUCACACUAGAGCGUUGUCCCAAUGAGAAGGAAGCAAUGGUAUGGUAUGACGAGUGCAUGUUGCGCUACUCAAGCCGCAGCAUAUUUAGCAGCAUGGAAGAGACUCCUGAAUUUUUUAUUGUGAGCAUCUAUAACAUAUCAGCUGGCGAUGCCAAGUUUGAGUUCAACAAGGACCUCUGGAACUUGUUGCAAAACCUAAGAGAUGGAGCUGCAACAGGUGGUUCUCUCCGUAAGUUUGCAACAGGAAAAGUAGCUGCAGGACCAAACUUCCAAACAAUGAAUGCACUUGUUCAGUGCACACCUGAUUUGUCUGAGCAAGAUUGCAGUUAUUGCUUGAGGAGGGCUUUUGAAAAUUUUUGGAGGUCUUAUGCUGGGGCAAUAGGUGGGAGAGUUCUUAGACCCAGCUGUAAUUUUAGGUUCGAGAACUUCGACUUCUACCACCGCACAGCUGAUGCACCAUCGCCAUUGCCUCCACCAGCAUCAGCACCAUCACCAUCACUAGCACCACAAGGUGAGAAGAGUCACAAACCUCGAAUUGCGAUCAUUCUACGUGUGGCUGCCGUUCUUGCUCUUGUGGUACUACCUGUCGUCUCCAUUUGCAUCUAUUUAUAAGAGUGAGGAAGCCAAGAGAAAAAUCAGGAAGAGAGCUACUCGGAAUCUAGUGGUUUAGCUCGAUGGACGGUGCUUGGUGGUUCUUCUUCUUGGUGGAUAUUCGUCUCGAUGGUAAUCCAAGCUGAGAGAGUGUACAUGUUUUGUUCAGAAUAUAAAAGAAAUUGAGGCCAACAGUUCACUCGUAUGCCGUUUAUUUUCGCAUGAGUAAUAUUUUAUCAGAUAUCUGACUUUUUAAUUAGCGGUAAUGUCGGUUGGAAUGCUGACUUUUUAAACAUUAUACCGUCUACUCAAUCUGACAUGGUCGAAAAUUCAAAAAGCUUACCGCCUACCAGCUGUCGGUUAGACAGUGUCGAAAGGUGGGUUAUUGUAGAUGUCCCUCAGAACGCACCAACCUUAAAUUGUACGGGGGUUACUCGUAUGACAAAGGCCAAGGGAAAAAUUAAAAGACUAACUAGAAGAAGAGAUAGUUGUACUGUAGAGUGAGUAAUAACCUUAUCACCCUUUAAGGAGUCUUCACAGGAGUGUCCAAAUGUCUUAUAUAUCCGAAGACCUAGCUGCAUGCAUGUUGGGCCUGAUUGUCGUCCCUUAAUUAACACAAUAUAGUUUGUUUAGUUUCCUUUGUCAUGCGUGUAUAAAAAGCGGGUGCGCACGUUGUAUUUGAGAGUGGCGCUUGUCCCUAUUUACUUUGAAUUAUUGUUAAGAACCAUGUAAGAAUGAAGUAUUUUCCAGUUUAUGUUUUAGACAUGUCCAUGAUUCAUGUGUAUGUGACAAGAAAUA